CCUGGGCUCCGGAGGACACCUUCCUGAGGACUAGGUAGAAACCAGGUGGAGGGAGAGCUGGCCUGCAGUGCUGAGAUGCGGGAGUCCUCCCUCCUCCGAGGGGAUUAUUGCUCUCACAGAUGACCAGGAGACAGCAAAAGGAAGAAGUAAUUUCCUCUUUUCCAUAGGGAAAAGCAAAGGGAUUCUUUUGUGGAGUUCUUGUGUUCUCUGCUGUCUUGGUACCCGAAGACAAUCUCCUCUCACAUCCUGAAUGUUGCAGGAGCAAGAAGCUGGAUUCCCACAAGAGGCUGCCCUGUGGUCCUGACCCUCAGCACAGGAGGGCUCCAAGGCCACUGCCCUUCUGGCCACACCUGCCAGCACAGCCCUGACCCAGGCCUGGCUACCAGAAUCACUUCCGGGACAGAGACAGGCUGGCUCAGGCCCUGAGACACAGCUCAGCUGGCUCACUUCGGGUGGCUGGACGCGUGGCCCUGAGUAAGACCCACCCCUUCAGUGGAGUGCCUCCCUCCCUCCUGUGAAAUGAAAUGCAGUUUCUCUGAACCCCACAUCCUGUGAGGCGCUUGGGGAAAAAUAACGGUGAUGCCCACAUGCGAUCGUUAGGUACUUCCCUCCCCAGCGGGGCAGCUGUCUUUGAGUAAGUUUGGUGGUGCUUGGUGAGCCACGAAAAGGCAGGACUGUGUCUUGUGAUGUGAAGAGGCUCUUUUCCUAACCAUAUAUGUCUUCCCAAGAGAAGCAAUAAAUAAUGUGGUCACUCUGGCCGGGUUGUCUUUCCCUAGCUGC